GGGCGGGCCGGGUAAGGUCCAGCCGUAUCCGCCUCCUUCAUGUCCCGCUGUGGGAGGGGCUCUGGAGCGCCGGGACUGUGAGAUGGCCAAUGACGGUCUGACCCGUUGGGCCGGGCCAGGUCGCGGACAACGUCGACCGUUUGUUUAAGAAGCGUGGACUCUUGUCCUGAGUGCACCGAGGCUUUCAGCCUGCGGGACAGUGGUGCGAUUUGCAUUAGAGAAAGGGAGAUGCCAUGUGCUGGCCCAGCACUCCAACAGGGGCCUGACCUCUAGGAACGGGACACUGGAGGAAGCCUAGACAUCUGAACAAAUCAAGUCAUCCAGAUCCACGGUCAGCUCCUGCCCCGACUUGGCCUUCCUCCUGCUGGGCUGGCCCACGGACCUCGGGAACCUGCCCUGGCUGUGGGUGACCUGCAGCCUAUCUCCCAGGACUAUGGAAGCCCCAUGCAGGAACAUGGUUCUGACACUUUGGGGAUUAUACCCUAAGCUUAAAGGACUGGAAAAGCCCCUGAAGUCCCGAGACCACAACCCUCCACCUUCUAAAGAUAAGACAAGUCACUGAAGGUCUCAGAACUGUGGCCCAUUCACCCCUUCCCUCAAGACAAGAGUGUGGCCAAGCAUCAAUCUCACCCCCAGAGACCAGACGGUGUCCAGGUCUUGGGCAGACGAAACCUGCUCCUUGGGGAUGGUCUUCCUGGCUGUGCUUCCAAAGGGCUGGCCUGCAAUCAGCUGGUUUUCACUUGAUCCUUUCGGGGUUUGCAUUAUAUCUGACUGAAGGAAUGAACUGGGAGAGAACAGCAGAGCCGCAGCGGAAUGUGGAAAGGCCCACGUCCAGACUGUUCCCAUUCUGAUUUAAAAGCCUGAUGAAGGAACAGCUGAACUCAGAGAAACAGCAGGUGAAAAGGAAAGGUCCUGUGAGGGUACAGUGAGAAGAUGGCCAUCUACCAGCCAGGAGGAAAGGCCUAACAAGAAACCAACUCUGCUGGCACCUUGAUCGUGAACUCCCGCCCUCUAGAACUGUGAGAAAAUAAACGUCUGUUUAAGCCACCUGGUCUGUGGUAUUUUGUUAUGGAAGCCCGAGCAGACCAAUAUGCCUACUAAGUAAGUACAAGUUCUAGAUAUCCAAGUGUUUUCUUUAUGUCAUCUCCUCGACAAAUUAAAUAUUUCAAUGUCCACAUUCUCAGAAAGAAAAGGAGUCAGUGUUUUAAUGGAUCCUGUUUAAUCUUUACUUCCCUGUAUCCUUAUUUCCGUGAAUGUGACUUCACAAAUGGAGUCAUCCUAUAUCCUACUCCCAAGGCACAAUCUGCUAAAAGCAAGAAAAAGGCUUUGCGCUGCUAAUUCACCCUUUUCUGCUCAGCAUUUGGCUCUAAACUGUAACCUGAG
rnacentral:lncRNA from 10 species